UGUUCUUUAAAUAGGGACUUGUAUCAACGGCACCACGAGGGCUACACUGUCUCCUCUCUCCAAUCAGUGAAACUGAUCUCCCCGUGAAGAGGCGGGGAUUUACUUAUAAGACGAGAAGACCCCAUGGAGCUUUAAACCCAACGUACACCCACCCGACCCACACACCAAUUUAACCUCAAAGGUCUGUACGUCGGUUUUAGGCUGGGGGGGCCGCGGAGUAAAAUUAAACCUCCACAACAAACGGGCUAAUACCCUUAUCCAUGAUUUACUAAUCUAAGAACCACAAAAUUGAUGUUUAAUGACCCGAUAAUUCGAUCAAUGAACCAAGUUACCCUGGGGAUAACAGCGCAAUCUACUUCAAGAGUCCAUAUCGACAAGUGGGUUUACGACCUCGAUGUUGGAUCAGGGUAUCCCAGUGGAGCAACCGCUA
rnacentral:rRNA from 1 species